ACAUUACGAACAUCUGCAAAGUAAACUGCCAAACUGCCACGCACAACAUAACAUACAUGGGAGAAACCCCUAGCUUUGACUCCAGGCACAAGAUGCCACUAUCUUCCAGUAGGCCACUAAGGGAACCCAGUGUUAAAGCAGUACCACGGGGCUUCAUCUGCAGUCCAGGAUACCCUCUCCCCGUGAAGAGAAAACAUCUGGGUCAUGAAGAGCCUUCGUUCAAUCCCCAGGACUCAUGUCAGGGAUCUCACAACAGUUGCCUGUAACUCCACCUCCAAGAGACUGGCUGACUCUGGCCUCUGCAGAUGACAACAUGAUUAUGCAAGGAAUCAGGAUGUACCUCUAAGGAGGGCUAAAGUUAUCUCUGGAAGACCUGUUACCUGGAGAACAGCACCUCAAAGGCUCUGGAAGAAAUACUUUCUUUGAAAUAAAACAUUUUAACUUCAAACACAAAAUAUGAAAGAAUGUCUUCAAAAAAAACUGCCAACUUCAUCUAAGCUUUGAGAUUCAGUUUUCACACAAGACAGCAAAGGGCUUCAAUUACACACUCCAAGGCUUGCAGGGGAGAGGCUGGGACCAAGAUGCUGUUUGGAAGUUAUAAUGGCAGAGGCAGGAGCUGACAAGGCUGGAUCACUUAACACUGACAAGCAACACCACUCCUGUGUGUGAUGGGCCAAGCCGCAGGCUAGCUGCUGAACCAGAAAGGUGUCCUGUGGAGUUGACACUGUGACAACAGAGAAGCUCAGAUGAGAUGUCCACAGGUGACUGCAGGAUGUGACAUUCUUGAUCUCAGGUGGAUCUGAAAUGAGCAAGUGCACUGUGCAAAGACAAGGCUGCUUCCUUGUAGUGUGCAUGGAAUCCAGGCUUCUGUUGAAUACUUGUGGUCUGUGCCUCCUGCAGCUCAGGGCUUCUGCCACUGCAACACACUGCUUCUGCUUCUUCCUACUGUGUGCUUAUGCUAAGAAUAUGUUUUUUGUCUUUUUGAUAGCUAAUAGUUAAAAUGGAGCAGAGAAUAUUGGCCCUUUGUUGUAGAAAGGUGCUUUGCCAAUAGUUCGUCUCUCAGCGCUCUAAAACUCUGGUGAGGACAGAAAUAUACAGCACUGCCACGCCACAAUGGCAGAAAUGAAUUUUCCAAUGUAUCCUGCUUCCUUCAAUUACAGGAUUAAUUCCAAGGAAAAACAAAUGUACCUUCAAAGUAUCAGUCUGAGAGGGUAAAAAGGGAAAUCAAUUGAAGUCAGAAAGUCUGGGCUCUGCAGCUUAUUGAUAAAUCCUCAGACCUCUUCCCUGUGCUUGACUUUCCCAACUAUUAAGAACAGCUUCAGAGAGACUAACUAUUGGUAAAGCAUCUUUCUACCUUUCUACAACAAUUGGCCAACAUUCUAUGCUCCAUUUUAAAUAUUAGCUAUGGAAAAAACAAAAAAAAUUCUUAGAAUAAGCUGAAGUGAUGCAUAAAUAUAGCAAGAAAAAAAGGAAUGAAACUUUAUUUAAAAAAAAAACACCACCAUUUAUCACUGAGAGAGAAAAAGAGAGACAGAGGGAGAGGAAGAGGGAGAGGGAGAGGAAGAGGGACAGGGACAGGGACAGGGAGAAGGACAGGGACAGGGACAGGGAGAUGGAGAGGGACAGAGAGAGGGACAGGGACAGGGAGAGUGAGUGUAUGCAGUGUCUGUCUGUGCAUGUAUGUGCAUGUGUCCCCGUGUAUGUGUGGAGGCUGGAGGUUGAUGCUGGGUGUCUUGCAUUUUGAAGCAGGGUCUCUGGGAAGCUGUACCUCAGCACCUGGCUGUCCUGGCUUGCCCAGGAGCUCAGGAGCCGCCCUGUGUCCACCAGCCCCACUGCACAGUACUGAAGCAAUGGACCACACCUGGCUUUGGUGCUGUCACUGGGAAAGAACUCAGGUUCCCAUGCCUGUGUUGCAGGCACCUGACUAAAUAAACUGUCCUCUAAGAAUAUAUUUUUGAAACUCCAAAAGGAAAAAAAAAAUGCUUCAAAAUUCCCUCAGAACCUACAGACAUAAUGUCUUGCCAAUUACAGAGCAUCGAAAGUAAAGACCUGUAAUUUUCCCAUUUUGAAACAAACACAGUAUCUGAAUACAAUAAACAAGUGUACAAAAUCA